UGCCAGCAGCCGCGGUAAUACGAGGGGUGCAAGCGUUAAUCGGAAUUACUGGGCGUAAAGCGCAUGCAGGUGGUCUGGUCAGUCAGAUGUGAAAGCCCCGGGAUCAACCUGGGAAUUGCAUUUGAUACUGCCAGACUAGAGUCUUGUAGAGGGGGGUAGAAUUUCAGGUGUAGCGGUGAAAUGCGUAGAGAUCUGAAGGAAUACCAGUGGCGAAGGCGGCCCCCUGGACAAAGACUGACACUCAGAUGCGAAAGCGUGGGGAGCAAACAGGAUUAGAUA
rnacentral:rRNA from 1 species